rnacentral:rRNA from 1 species
GCGCGAAAACUUUACAAUGCGGGAAACCGUGAUAAGGAAACCCCGAGUGCCAGCAUAGGCUGGCUGUCCGCCAGUGUAAAUAACUGGUGAAGAAAGGGCCGGGCAAGACCGGUGCCAGCCGCCGCGGUAAUACCGGCGGCUCGAGUGGUGGCCACUAUUACUGGGCUUAAAGGGUCCGUAGCUUGAUAUGCAAGUCUCUUGAGAAAUCCGCCGGCUUAACUGGCGGGCGUUCAGGGGAAACUGCAUUUCUAGGGACCGGGAGAGGUGAGAGGUACUGCCGGGGUAGGAGUGAAAUCCUGUAAUCCCGGUGGGACCACCUAUAGCGAAGGCAUCUCACCAGAACGGGUCCGACAGUGAGGGACGAAAGCUGGGGGAGCAAACCGGAUUAGAUACCCGGGUAGUCCCAGCUGUAAACGAUGCGCGUUAGGUGUGUCAGUGACCACGUGUCACUGAGGUGCCGAAGGGAAACCGUGAAACGCGCCGCCGUGGGGAGUACGGUCGCGAAGGCUAGAAACUUAAAGGAAUUGGGCGGGGGAGCCACCGACGAACGGGGUGGACGG